rnacentral:rRNA from 1 species
UACGGGGGGAGCAAGCGUUAUUCGGAUUUACUGGGCGUAAAGGGCGCGUAGGCGGUCAGCACAAGUCAGUUGUGAAAUCUCCGGGCUUAACUCGGAAAGGUCAACUGAUACUGUGCGACUAGAGUGCGGAAGGGGCAACUGGAAUUCUCGGUGUAGCGGUGAAAUGCGUAGAUAUCGAGAGGAACACCUGCGGCGAAGGCGGGUUGCUGGGCCGACACUGACGCUGAUGCGCGAAAGCCAGGGGAGCGAACGGG